GACGAACGCUGGCGGCGUGCUUAACACAUGCAAGUCGAACGGUAAGGCCCCAGCUUGCUGGGGUACACGAUUGGCGAACGGGUGAGUAACACGCGGGUGACCUGCCCCGCACUUCGGGAUAAGCCUGGGAAACUGGGUCUAAUACCGGAUACGACCGCACCGAGCGGGUGUGGUGGAAAUUUUUUCGGUGUUGGAUGGGCCCGCGGCCUAUCAGCUUGUUGGUGAGGUAAUGGCCUACCAAGGCGGCGACGGGUAGCCGGCCUGAGAGGGUGGACGGCCACAUUGGGACUGAGGCACGGCCCAGACUCCUACGGGAGGCAGCGGGGGGGAAUAUUGCACAAUGGGCGGAAGCCUGUUGCAGCGACGCCGCGUGGGGGAUGACGUCCUUCGGGUUGUAAACACCUUUCACCAUCGACGAAGGUUUUCUGACGGUAGAUGGAGAAGAAGCACCGGCUAACUACGUG
rnacentral:rRNA from 1 species